ensembl:lncRNA
GGUUUAGGUAAACUGGGACCUGGUAGAAUCCAUUGAAGGGUUUAGGUAAACUGGGACCUGGUAGAAUCCAUUGAAGGGUUUAGGUAAACUGGGACCUGGUAGAAUCCAUUGAAGGGUUUAGGUAAACAGUCUGGGACCUGGUAGAAUCUAUUGAAGGGUUUAGGUAAACUGUCUGGGACCUGGUAGAAUCCAUUGAAGGGUUUAGGUAAACUGGGACCUGGAAGAAUCCACUGAAGGGUUUAGGUAAACUGGGACCUGGUAGAAUCCAUUGAAGGGUUUAGGUAAACUAGGACCUGGUAGAAUCCACUGAAGGGUUUAGGUAAACUGUCUGGCACCUGAAGAAUCCAUUGUCGGGUUUAGGUAAACUGUCUGGGACCUGGAAGAAUCCAUUGAAGUGUUUAGGAAAACUGUGACCUG